AGUACCUACAUUUUCGAUGGAGCCUCAAAUAAAACCAUGACAAAUGGUGUCAACAUAAUGGACAGAAGUUGAAAUGGAUUACAUAUCAUCAUCCCAGUCUGCCUGUUUGUCUGUCUGGCUUAAAUCUGCUGAAAAACAUAGACAGUGCUAUCCAGUGUAGUCAAAAAGGAUCCAAUGUUUAAAGUAUCAGACCAGCCCCAUCGGUGACCCCUCCACUCCACAGGAAGUCUCCUGUGAAAAAUAUGACCCUCAUCGUGACAACAGGCGGAGGCAACUCAGAUCUGUGAGUUGCUGCUGGUUCCCAUAGUUCCUGGCUUGGCAUUCCAUGACAUUUGCUCCAUUUCAUUUUCUUUCACACCUGGGUCCAAAGACUAAGAUAACAGCACAAAAAUAUAUCUCACCUGUGAUUAUUUGGUAGAAGAAAGAGUAAGUAACCUUGGUGGUGAAGCAAGGUGGCACCUGGCUUUAACACUUACAGCUGAAACUGAAUCCAAGUGAUCACUUCACCAAUAUUAUGGCUGAGAUGUAAUCAAAUCCUUAAAGUUAGUUUACUUUCUAAGUUUUUAGAAACCAUUAUUUCAGUUUCAGUGUAUGUUUUAAAUUUAGUUUUUGUGUGCAUUGAAAGAUAUAGUGAUGCCAGCCACCUGCCAGCUUUAUGCUGGCUAGGGGCAUCAGCAAGUUUGUAGCUUUUAAUGUAAUAAAAUAAACUAUGAGUCAUUUCCAGCAGCAUGUACGGCAAUGCUAUGUUUUCUGACGCUAUGCACACAAAGAUAUACAUUUUAUGGUACUUAUUAACAAUCACAACCUAUGCCAGCACUUGUAUGUGUCACAAGCUCUUUAUUCCCAAGAUUAAUCAGGACCAGACAGACUGUAUUUCACUUUAAAAUCAGAACCAACCAAGUGUCCAGGUGAAAUGACUUAACUGUGUAACCAAUUGCUUUGAUUGAUUAUGUGCUGAGGAACCAUGAAAUACAGCAGAACCUGCGGCUCUCCAGGACCAGGGUUGCAGACCCCUGAUAAAGGAAGCCAUGCCACACCUUACACUGAGUGCA